AAUUUUAUAGUUAAAAAUUAAUAAUAUUAGAAUGCAAAUCUAAAAUUAUAAUUUUAAAUUAUUAAGAUUU
rnacentral:tRNA from 1 species